ACUGAACGCUCUCGGCAUGCCUAAUACCUGCAAGUCGAUCGAACAGUCUAGGAGCUUGCUACUCUGUCGUUAGCUGCGGCCGGGUGAGUACCACGUGACUAACCCACCUAUUAAACUAGCAUUACUUCGGCAAACCGGCGCUAAUACCUGAUAAUAUAUUCAACCGCGUGGUUCAAUAGUGAAAGACGGUUUUGCUGUCCCUUAUACAUGGAUCCGCGCCGCAUUAGCUGGUUGGUAAGUUAAAGGCUUACCAAGGCACCGAUUCCUAGCCGACCUGAGAGGGUGACCGGCCACACUGGAACUGAGCCAAGGUCCAGACUCCUACGGGAGGCAACAGUAGGGAAUCUGGAGCAAUGGGCGAAAGCCUGAAGGAGGAACGCCGCGUGAGUGAUGAAGGUCUUCGGAUCGUAAAACUCUGUUAGUAGGGAAGAACAAAUGUGUAAGUAACUAUGCACGUCUUGACGGUACCUAGGCAGAAAGCCACGGAUAACUACGUG
rnacentral:rRNA from 1 species